rnacentral:misc_RNA from 1 species
GCAACCAGUUGCUCUACGUACCUAACCAAGCAUUUACUAUAAAUUAAAAUUCUUGGGCUAUUUAUGUAUGGUUUUUUUUUUCACUAUUUAAGCUGAAAAAGAAAACCAAAAUUAUGAUACACACCUUACACUUGUGUUUCGUAUCUGAUAUUAUUGAUUAUGUGUCACUUUUCUAUAUGGACAAGAGAUAUACAUAAAUAAGUGGUUUAUGUCACGCAUAACCAUAAGAGAGUUUGGUUUCCACAAGUAUUCGUGCAACUUGUAACAAUUCCAUGAACACAUGGUAAAAAAUCCACAUGAACUGGCUACAGAACAAAAUUCUACAACAUUCUUGUCAAAUUACCUAUCAUUUGCCUCCUCAUCA